rnacentral:rRNA from 1 species
AACGAACGCUGGCGGCAUGCCUAACACAUGCAAGUCGAACGAGACCUUCGGGUCUAGUGGCGCACGGGUGCGUAACGCGUGGGAACCUGCCUUUAGGUUCGGAAUAACUCAGAGAAAUUUGAGCUAAUACCGGAUGAUGUCUUCGGACCAAAGAUUUAUCGCCUUUAGAUGGGCCCGCGUUGGAUUAGCUAGUUGGUGGGGUAAAGGCCUACCAAGGCGACGAUCCAUAGCUGGUCUGAGAGGAUGAUCAGCCACACUGGGACUGAGACACGGCCCAGACUCCUACGGGAGGCAGCAGUGGGGAAUAUUGGACAAUGGGCGAAAGCCUGAUCCAGCAAUGCCGCGUAAGUGAUGAAGGCCUUAGGGUUGUAAAGCUCUUUUACCCGAGAUGAUAAUGACAGUAUCGGGAGAAUAAGCUCCGGCUAACUCCGUG